AAGUCGUAACAAGGUCUCCGUUGGUGAACCAGCGGAGGGAUCAUUACAAGAAGCCGAAAGGCUGCUUAAAACCAUCGCGAACCUAUCCAUCAGCGUUGCUUCGGCGGGAUGAGGCCGCCGGGCCGGGGACCCGCACCCUCUCGGGGGUGCGGGGCCCGCCCGCCGGAGGUAUGAAACUCUUCUGUAUCUGUAGUGGAAUCUCUGAGUAAGCAAGCAAAUAAGUCAAAACUUUCAACAACGGAUCUCUUGGUUCUG
rnacentral:misc_RNA from 1 species